AUUGAACGCUAGCGGGAUGCCUUACACAUGCAAGUCGAACGGAGUGGCGGACGGGUGAGUAAUGUAUCGGAACGUGCCCAGUAGCGGGGGAUAACUACGCGAAAGCGUAGCUAAUACCGCAUACUAUUGGAGCGGCCGAUGGCGGAUUAGCUAGUUGGUGGGGUAACGGCCUACCAAGGCGACGAUCCGUAGCUGGUUUGAGAGGACGAACAGCCACACUGGAACUGAGACACGGACCAGACUCCUACGGGAGGCAGCAGUGGGGAAUAUUGGACAAUGGGGGAAACCCUGAUCCAGCCAUGCCGCGUGUGCGAUGAAGGCCUUCGGGUUGUAAAGCACUUUUGGCAGGAAGGCGGUACCUGCAGAAUAAGCACCGGCUAACUACGUGCCAGCAGCCGCGGUAAUUC
rnacentral:rRNA from 1 species